rnacentral:ncRNA from 1 species
GCGGGCGAGGGUGACCCUAGACAUCCCUUUUAAGCUAUGAUUCGGGCGAACUGAUUCAUAGUAAAAUCUACAAAGGGGGGCCGAAGAAGCAAACCGGAAAAGUGGCAGUUUUUCCGUGGAAACUGACAGGCAAAAAGGAAGGUCAUCGGACGAUACUUUGGAGAGACCACUUCAGUGUGGAGCCAACGAGGAUAUAACCAACCGGCAAAAGGACAGAGGA